rnacentral:rRNA from 1 species
CCUACGGGUGGCAGCAGUGGGGAAUAUUGCACAAUGGGGGAAACCCUGAUGCAGCGACGCCGCGUGAGUGAAGAAGUCAUUCGUUAUGUAAAGCUCUAUCAGCAGGGAAGAAAAUGACGGUAACUGAGUAAGAAGCCCCUGCUAACUACGUGCCAGCAGCCGCGGUAAUACGUAGGGGGCACACGUUCUCCGGAGUUACUGGGUGUAAGGGGGUCGUAGACGGCAGUGCAAGUAUGGAGUGAAAGGCGGGGGCUCAACCCUCGUACAGCUCGGGAUACUGUACUGCUGGAGUGUAGGAGAGGUAAGUAGAAUUCCUAGUGUAGCGGUGAAAUGCGUAGAUAUUAGGAGGAAUACCAGUGGCGAAGGCGGCUUACUGGACUGUAACUGACGUUGAGGUUCGAAAGCGUGGGUAGCAAACAGGAUUAGAUACCCCUGUAGUC